AGUGAACGCUGGCGGUAGGCCUAACACAUGCAAGUCGAACGGCAGCACGGGAGAGCUUGCUCUCUGGGUGGCGAGUGGCGGACGGGUGAGGAAUACAUCGGAAUCUACUUUUUCGUGGGGGAUAACGUAGGGAAACUUACGCUAAUACCGCAUACGACCUACGGGUGAAAGCCGGGGACCUUCGGGCCUGGCGCGGAUAA
rnacentral:rRNA from 1 species